rnacentral:rRNA from 1 species
UACGUAGGGUGCAAGCGUUAAUCGGAAUUACUGGGCGUAAAGCGUGCGCAGGCGGUUUUGUAAGACAGAGGUGAAAUCCCCGGGCUUAACCUGGGAACUGCCUUUGUGACUGCAAGGCUUGAGUGCGGCAGAGGGGGAUGGAAUUCCGCGUGUAGCAGUGAAAUGCGUAGAUAUGCGGAGGAACACCGAUGGCGAAGGCAAUCCCCUGGGCCUGCACUGACGCUCAUGCACGAAAGCGUGGGGAGCGAACAGG